GGGGGGGGGGGCAACCCAGGGUGGGCUGGCUGCUCACACUGAGGGGCCCUGGGAACGACGCAGAAGGGGCUGCAGAGACCCGCCUCUGAGUGCCAGCUCCAGCUGCGUGGGGGAAGCGACCCAUCACUGGGCAGUCUGGGGGCUCCUGGUGGGGCGGACAGGCAGACCUCAGGGAUGUCCAGGAUUAGAAGUCAAGAGUGGCCCGUAAGAGAGAGCUGAAUGAAGAGAGGAAGACAGGGGAGGACGUCCUGAGCAGGCCUCUCUCGUAGCUCACUCGCACAUUCUGUAGGAACUCCUGUAGAGGAGCGUUGGCUCUGGGCAAGGACGUGGUGCGUAGCACCACCGCUGUGAUCAGCUUCCUGCCGCCCAGACCACGCAGCUAGGCUCCGCCCCAAGGCAGCUAGGCUCCGCCCCCCAGAGCCUUGGGCAGGAGGUGACGUCAGGGUGGUCAGCAGAGGCUCGGCUGGACGUCAGCCGCGGCGACACCACCGAAAGCCUGAGGUGGGCGAGGGGAAGGAGACCAAGCUCUGGGGACCCUCCUGAGAUCAGGGGCGCACCCCCGGGACACAGCCCUGCCCCGGAGCGAAGCGGACGCAGGAGAUUUGGAGGCACCACCCCUGAUGGACACGGCCUAUUCGGGCUGCUCCUGUGUCUUCACUGUACCAUAACCUUCUCCACCAGGUGGGACCCCAGGGAUCGCCUUCCAAAUCUGUUUGGGGCGCUGGCAUGAAGUGGGCAGCCAGGGGAGGUUAGGCUUGGGGGCGGGGUAGGGGUGGGUGAGGGUCACUCCAGACAAGCCUGUCCUGGUUGAAGCGGGUCACUACACUCAGAGGACACGUUGCUGACGGUAAUGUCUGGACAGGCCAGCAGGGCGUGAGGGCGCUCAGAGAGACGUGGCGCCCGCAGGCAGAGGGACACACGCUCACGUGUGCACACACGCACCCUAGCGGGGCCCCCAGGACUCCCUGGAGACUGGGGUUUGCACCUCAGCUGCUGGAAGCCCUG
rnacentral:lncRNA from 1 species